rnacentral:rRNA from 1 species
AGUGAACGCUGGCGGUAGGCCUAACACAUGCAAGUCGAACGGCAGCUCAGUAAGAGCUUGCUCUUACGGGUGGCGAGUGGCGGACGGGUGAGGAAUACAUCGGAAUCUACUUUUUCGUGGGGGAUAACGUAGGGAAACUUACGCUAAUACCGCAUACGACCUACGGGUGAAAGCAGGGGAUCUUCGGACCUUGCGCGAUUGAAUAAGCCGAUGUCGGAUUAGCUAGUUGGCGGGGUAAAGGCCCACCAAGGCGACGAUCCGUAGCUGGUCUGAGAGGAUGAUCAGCCACACUGGAACUGAGACACGGUCCAGACUCCUACGGGAGGCAGCAGUGGGGAAUAUUGGACAAUGGGCGCAAGCCUGAUCCAGCCAUACCGCGUGGGUGAAGAAGGCCUUCGGGUUGUAAAGCCCUUUUGUUGGGAAAGAAAAGCAGCAGGUUAAUACCCCGCUGUUCUGACGGUACCCAAAGAAUAAGCACCGGCUAACUUCGUG